UGCCUCAUCAAUCGGAAGGAAUUCCUUCCGGUCGAUGGGGUUGUUAUACCUCAUCAAUCGGAAGGAGUUCCUUCAGAUCGAUGAGGUAUAACAACCCCAUUGACCAGAAGGAAUUCCUUCUGAUCGAUGAGGUG
rnacentral:miRNA from 1 species